UCCAUGACUACGUGUCCAAGGUUCC
rnacentral:piRNA from 1 species